rnacentral:rRNA from 1 species
UACAGAGGGUGCAAGCGUUAAUCGGAAUUACUGGGCGUAAAGCGUGCGUAGACGGUUAUGUAAGUCGGGUGUGAAAGCCCCGGGCUCAACCUGGGAAUUGCAUUCGAGACUGUGUAGCUAGGGUACGGAAGAGGGAAGCGGAAUUUCAGGUGUAGCGGUGAAAUGCGUAGAUAUCGGAAGGAACACCAGUGGCGAAAGCGGCUUCCUGGUCCAGCACCGACGUUCAGGCACGAAAGCGUGGGGAGCAAACAGG